rnacentral:rRNA from 1 species
GCGUAACAGCUCACUAGUCGAGCGAUUGGGCGUGGAUAAUAAUCGGGCAUAAAGUAUAUUACCGAAGCUGUGGGAUUUUAAAUCGGUAGGGGAGCAUUCUAGUUGCAUUGAAGGUGUAUCGUAAGGUAUGCUGGAGCGGCUAGAAAAGAAAAUGUAGGAAUAAGUAACGAUAAAGCAGGCGAGAAACCUGCUCACCAAUAGACUAAGGUUUCCUGAUCAACGCUAAUCGGAUCAGGGUUAGUCGGGACCUAAGG